AGCACCAGAAGAGGCGCGUUAGCCAGGUAGAUAACACGAGGAACCACUUUUCCUGUGACGGUUAUUGAGGGGGACUAACGCCGAGAGCGCUAUUGCUUGUGGUCAAUAGUACUCGGUUGCCAGGGUUGAAUCCCUGGGACUGUCACUCGUUUUCGGCAACCUUUUGGGUAUUGUUAAAUGCCUGGUUUGCUAUUCGGUGGAGAGCUUCUGGCUGA
rnacentral:ncRNA from 1 species